UUUUUCUUGCUUUCAGGAUAAAGAGUUUCCCCCCCUAAAAAAGAAAAGGGUAAGUUGACGUUAUUAUUUUAUUUAUUAUGUUAUCCUGACUGAUUUGCCUCUUAUAAAGAUAGGUAAAGAAUCUGUUGAAGCGUGUCUCUAUGAGGCCCUCUUUGUAUGGAGUGUAUGUAAUAUACUCAUCUAAAAAGCAAUUUUUCCCAAAUGCAAUUCAGCAUCAUGACAUGAUUUUGAAAGAAAGUAAAUAAAAGUAAUUUUUUGACAGAAAGGUCAUAUAGGAAAAAUACUGCAGUGAGCAAAAUAGAGAGCCAGGAGAUGCCGAUGGUGACAAUUUUUUUUAUUUUUGAAGAGCAACAAAUUAUGUCUUCUCUUAUUGUCUUAUUAAAAGAUCAAAACAUUAGGAUUCCUUUCUUUGGCCUUCCAAUUUGUGAUUUUAACAGUACAAUAUUUAAGUCUUGAUUUUCAGUUACCUGGGUGGUAACAAUUGCAACAAAUUAAUACAACAAAAGAAUUUGAUUUAUUCCAGCUUUCCAUAGCAACACCAGCAGGAUGACUGAUAUAUCAUUCCAAAUUUCCAGUCAGUAUCAUCGCACUGGGGACUUUGAAUAAUUUUAUUUAAUUUUUAUUUUUACAACUCACACUUAUGGCACAGAGUUGGGCAGUGGGAACUGAAACAAUGUCAUUCUUAGUCUCCUGGGUGGUAACAAAAAGCCAACAGCAGAUCUCUCCUUUCUAUAAGGUCAACGUCUGUUUUACAAGUUCAUCAUUGGAGGGGACACAAUUGCAAGGCGGCCGCCGACGCUGAAUAAUAAAUAAUCUUGAUUUAGUUUGCAACCCAGGACGUCUGGCAUUAGAAGUCAUUAGAGAGUUCAAUGUCUUCUAUUUUAUAGAAAAGAGGUAUUUCAAAGUCUCAGCUUCGAUUAGUUAAAGGAGGGGUAAACCAUUUAUGGUCCUCAACUUUCUUUUUCUUUUUUUUUCCCUAAUGUGAAGGAGGUGGGUUUUUUCUUCCACCAUCUUUUUUUCAUUGCAUACUGGCAGCAUCGAGAUAAAAAUGUUUUCCUAGUUCUUCUCAAAGAAUCGAACAUUUUUGGACAAAUAACUGCCAGGCAGCCUGGUGUUAGGAUGCAUUUCACCCUGUUGGCUGAAUGCAGGGAUCUUAAUGUCGAUUUUCAAUGUGGCAACCUUUCCAGCGUACUAUUUUUAAUG